GCGGGUGGCACAUGGCGGGCGGGGGGCGGCGGCGGGGCCGGGCGGGCGGGGAGGCGGCGGCGGAGGGCGGUGCGGUGCUGCGGAGGCUGCGGGAGGCGCGGGACGAUCUGCUGAGCUCCGGCUUCUGGGCGGCGAGCGCCGGAGCCGUGCGGGCCCCGCUGGGCGGCGGCGCGGAGCCGCCCGCCCUCUGCGUCUGUUACGGCCUGGGGCGGUUCAGCGGCUGCCCCGCCGCCCGGCACCAGCUGGCCUUCCUGCUGCUGCUGCUGGAGGAGCUGGGGGUGCCGCCCGGCCGGUGUUCCCUGUUCGACCCCGCCUUCUCCGCCCAGGAGGCGGCCGCGCUGGGGGAACUGGGGCUGCGGCUCCUCCCGGACAACGAGGAGGGGAAACACGGCAUUGAGGGAUCGGCCACGCUGUUUUACAUGGUGCACUGCGGGAAAGCCUUGUACAACAACCUGCUGUGGAGGAACUGGUCUGAAGGGGCUCUGUCCAAAAUGGUCAUCGUUGGGAACAGCUUUAAAGGAAUGGAGGAAAGAUUGUUGUCAAGAAUAUUGGAGAGAGAUUAUUCUUACAUAGCAAAGGUCUUGAAAGGGACAGAGGAGGUGGCGCUCCCCGCUCACCCUCGCUACCUCGACACCUUUAACGACACCUCCGUCCACUGGUUUCCCUUGCAUAAACUGAAGGAACUCUCCCCUGAGGUCUGGGACUUUGUGGAGGAGCCAACGUACCAAGACUGUGACGACUUGGAGAUCAUCAGAAAGGAUGACAGAGCUGACGGGUGCAGUCCUGUUGCCGCUGAGUCCUGACCGCUCUCAGUGGCGGCGGGGCGGGGACUCGGGGCUGCCUCUCUUCCCACGGCAGCUUUGGUGCAGCCAAGAUGUAGCUGAAGCACUGACAGUGUCAUCGUGCUCCACCAAAAGUGGCGACACCUGAACACUUGAGCAUGAUGGGAUAUUUUUGUAUCUUAAUUAUUUAAUAAAAGGAACAAUUCAAAGCCUUU